GACGAACGCUGGCGGCGUGCUUAACACAUGCAAGUCGAACGGAAAGGCCUGCUUUCCCUUGUGGAUUGCGGGUACUCGAGUGGCGAACGGGUGAGUAACACGUGAGUGAUCUGCCCCCAACUUGGGUAUAAGCCUGGGAAACUGGGUCUAAUUCCCGAUAGGACUGCAGGGUGGUGCCUGUGGUGGAAAACGAUUUUCUAGUGGUUGGGGAUGAGCUCGCGGCCUAUCAGCUUGUUGGUGGGGUAACGGCCUACCAAGGCGGCGACGGGUAGCCGGCCUGAGAGGGUGGACGGCCACAUUGGGACUGAGAUACGGCCCAGACUCCUACGGGAGGCAGCAGUGGGGAAUAUUGCACAAUGGGCGGAAGCCUGAUGCAGCGACGCCGCGUGGGGGAUGACGGCCUUCGGGUUGUAAACUCCUUUCGACCGCGAGGAAGCCACCUGGUUGGAAGGGUGGUGACGGUAGUGGUAGAAGAAGCACCGGCUAACUACGUG
rnacentral:rRNA from 1 species